UUGUGCAACCAGGUCUCCAGAAAAGCGCACGCGCAGCGCGGCUCGGGCCACGGACAGGGACAGCCCUUGCCUUAAACCCCUCUUCUCUUCGGGUUUCCUCCCAUUCGUUCCCCGGAAGCCGCCGCCCGCCGGUCCCGAUGGCGCCCAAGGUUCUCAUGGUCGCGGAGAAGCCCAGCAUCGCGCUCUCCAUCGCCUCCGCCCUCUCCGGUGGCCGCAUGUCUACAAGGAAGGGAAGCACAGAUGUCCAUGAGUUUGACGGAACAUUUCAGGGUUCUUAUGCAAACUUCAAAGUGACUUCAGUCAUUGGACAUGUCUUAAGUGUAGAUUUCCCCCCUGCAUAUCAGAACUGGGAAGCAACUGAUCCAUUGGACCUAUUUGAGGCUCCAGUUCUGAGAUCUGAAUGCAACCCAAAGGCUCAUAUACGCAGGCAUCUAGCUCAAGAAGCUCGAGGCUGCACUUAUUUGAUACUUUGGCUGGACUGUGACCGAGAAGGAGAAAACAUAUGCUAUGAAGUUAUUGAGUGCACUGGGAUUCCUGACAAUGGCAGAAGAAUUUUCCGUGCUAGAUUUUCAUCUGUUACUGAGAAAGACAUAUUGACCGCCAUGGAUAAUCUUGUUCUGCCAAACAAAGAUGAAGCGCUAUCAGUGGAUGCUCGCCAAGAAAUUGACUUGAAGGUUGGAGUAGCAUUUACUCGAUUUCAGACUCGAUAUUUCCAAGGAAAAUAUGGAAACCUUGAUUCAAGAGUGAUUUCGUAUGGUCCAUGCCAAACACCUACACUUGGAUUCUGUGUACAACGCUAUCAGCAAAUCACCACAUUCAAACCAGAGAAAUUCUGGUCCUUGAAAACGUAUAUUAUCAAAGAUAGUGAUGAAAUACAGCUAGAAUGGGACCGGAAGAAACUUUUUGAUUUUGAUGUCACUGUAAUGUUCCAGAAGAUGGUCAUCAGUGAUGGCUCUCUAAAAGUAGCAGAUGUGUCAGUGAAGGAGGAGUGCAAAACCCGUCCAUCUGGCCUUAAUACAGUUAAUAUGCUUAAGGUUGCAUCAAGUGCGCUUGGUAUUGGACCUCAGACAGCCAUGCACUUGGCGGAGCGGCUGUACACUCAAGGAUUCAUCAGUUAUCCUCGUACAGAGAGCACGGCAUAUCCAUCAUCAUUUGAUUUUCGAGGUGCACUUGCUGCACUAUUAAAUAAUCCUCUAUGGUCCAAUGAUGUCCGGACAUUACUGGAUGCUGGUUUUGUUAAGCCUCGUCAAGGUCAUGAUGCUGGGGACCAUCCUCCAAUCACUCCAAUGAGGUCAGCAACAGAAGCAGCUCUGGGAACUGAUGCUUGGAGGCUGUACCAAUACAUAUGCCAGCACUUCAUUGGAACUGUUAGUCCUGAUUGUAGAUAUACAAGGACUGCCAUUGAGUUCACUUCAGGUGGAGAAACUUUCCACUGUGUUGGGUAUCGAGUCACUUCUAAAGGAUUUACUUCUAUCAUGCCAUGGCUGGCUAUCAGUGAGAAUAGUCUUCCUGCAUUUAAAAAGGGAGACUCUGUUAGUAUUCAUAAGGUUGACAUAUAUGAGGGAAGCACUACACCACCUGAUUACCUCACUGAAAGUGAAUUGAUCUCUCUCAUGGAGAAGAAUGGCAUAGGUACAGAUGCAUCAAUUCCUGUACAUAUAAACAACAUUUGUGAACGUAAUUAUGUUCAGGUGAAUUCUGGAAGAAGGUUAGUACCGACACCCCUGGGAACUACAUUGAUAAGAGGGUAUCAGUGUAUUGAUGCUGAUCUCUGCUUGCCAGAUAUCAGAAGCUUUAUUGAGCAACAGAUUACUCUAAUUGCAAAAGGCAAAGCUGAUCAUCUUCGAGUUAUUCAACAUGUUAUUCAGCAAUUUAUGAAAAAGUAUUCUUACUUUGUGAAAAAGAUUGAAAACAUGGAUGCGCUGUUUGAGGCACAGUUUUCACCUUUGGCAGACUCUGGCCGCUUACUAAGCAAGUGUGGAAAAUGUGGUCGGUAUAUGAAGUACAUUUCCACUCAGCCAAUGAGGUUGUAUUGUAUAACUUGUGAGGAUGUCUAUUAUCUUCCUCAGAAUGGUUCAAUUAAGCUUUACAAAGAAAUCAUAUGCCCUCUUGAUGGUUUUGAGUUGCUUCUGUUCUCGAUGGUGGGACCUGAUGCAAAAUCUUUCCCAUUGUGCCCUUUUUGCUAUAAUUGUCCUCCAUUUGAAGGCAUCGACAAACUCUUUGGUGCUCUCAAGCUUGAUGACACUGGCAAGGUUGGGAAAGGGGCUGGCAUGCCAUGCUUCCUUUGCCCUCACCCAACAUGCAAGCAAUCUAUGAUCACUCAGGGAGUUUGUGCUUGUCCUGAGUGUAGUGGUACCCUGAUUCUUGAUCCAGUUAGUGCACCCAAAUGGCGGCUUUACUGCAACAUGUGUAAUUGCAUUGUAUUACUCCCACAUGCUGCUCACAGGAUCACCACUACAGAUAAAAAAUGCCUAACAUGUGAAUCUACUAUCAUUGAAGUUGAUUUCAACAAGAAAACCACCCCUCUUCAAGAUGGAGCUACAUUGCAUGAGGGCUGUAUCUUGUGUGAUGAUCUGUUGCAUUCACUGAUUGAAAUGAAGCAUGGUAAAUCAUUCUUUAUGCGGAGAGGUAGAGGCAGAGGCAGAGGGAGAGGCCGGGGCAGAGGGAGCAGUCGUGGCAGAGGAAGACUAGGGAACUCAAGGUAUGAUGAUCCUAAAAUGAGCUUCCGGGAUUUUUGAAGAUUUUGGACUUCCAACAAGGGUCACUACUCACUACUUUGUAAGGUAGAUUGUUCAAUCAUUCUAUAAUUGGUGCCAAGUUAUUUCUUUAAACCAAAUGGAAAGAAACGAUGUUGGCCUGAAGUUGUCCAGAAAUGAGAUGGACCUGAAGCAUCUGUUGUUUGACUUUGACAAUGAGAUGUACAGAAAGAUAUUUACCACGUUCAAAAGCCAACUCACAUGUCCAUUCAGAAAUUUAUCGUGCAAAGUUUUUUUAUAUUUAAAAAAGGUAUAACUUUUAUAUUUUGAAAUGAGCAUUUCUCCAUAGCAGCCUUCAGUGGUUAUUUGCAGGAAAGCAACCAUCAUCUGCAGCUUUGUCUUGUGUUCAGUAAACCCCCAGAAUGGAGUAAAUAUAUUAUUAGAAACGUGACUUAAGAGUCAGCUGCUGCCCCAUGUCUUUGUGUAUUGACACAUUCCAUGCGUCAGGACUCAGGACACUGAAUCUGUAGUUUAAAAUGUUGGAUAGCACAACACAAUUGUAUACUCAGGAGUAGUGUUUCUGUAAUACUUGAAAGCUGGAACCUUGUGCCAAUGCUUGGCGGAAGAUCCCAGGUUGGUGAGAAUUGAGAACCUCCAGCUCAAUAUGACAAAGGCACUCACCAGUCCAUAGAUCGGAAUGCAGCUCAACCAACAUCUCUUUGCAACAUUGGUGGUACACCUGAUAGCUCCUUCCGAGCUGUUAUGAUUCUUCUAGAUGGAUUUCAGAAGAAAACGAUGGUUCUGUCUAUUUUAUUGCUUUGCUCUUGCUGCAAACGUAUGGUUUCUUUGUCUCAAGCCCCUGCACCCACCAACUUAGAUGGCAGCUUAAAAGUUCCCUUCAAGUCCAAGGAAACUGGGCAGAUCAGCAGAGUGCAACCCAAACUGACCGUCUGAACACUGACGAAUGAGGGUCGUGUUCAAAGAACCAAUCCCUCUGUUAGCCCGUUGCUUUGUAGAGGGAACAAAGCAUUUGAUUGGAACCCAGACAGGAAACAGGGAACGGGUGGCCCGUGACUCGUGCGUGCCAAAAGUUAUGAGUGUAAGCACAACGACGCAAGGCUUUGGCCAUACUAGCUGUCGUAUUCUGGAUUUUGUCAGAGUCAAAAUAACUUAAAUUUAACUGAGUUUAUGGAAACUGGUGUUAACUUUUAA